ACCUCAUGAUGACUGAGCCUGUCAGUAUGGAGCAUCAUCCAAGGAUUUUCUGAGCCUGAUGGACAUACAAUGAUACUCAGCCACCUGGGGAA
rnacentral:lncRNA from 1 species